rnacentral:lncRNA from 1 species
CGCUUCUGUUGCUUCCGGGAAGAUUGCGUACACAUGUAAAACUGGAAAAACGUUAAUGAAGAGAAAAACUAAAAGCUCCCGCCCCCACCCAGGCCUGCUCAGAAGAACCCAAGCCACUCAGAAGCAGGAGGCAGCCUUCACCCCAACCAGAUCCAUAUCCAUUCCAGACUCAGGAUUACAACAAUUUGGGAGAGGGUCAACCAAGUCAGAGUCCCACAUGGCAGAAGAGCUGCUUUAGCUUAAGACUCUUAACUCUUUUUCCUCGGGGCAGGAAAGGUUUGAGCCAAUGAAGGAUGAGGCUUUCCAGGCCCAGGACACAACCUUGAUCCAAGGCCUAGUUGUGGCUUUAAUUUUUGUAAAUCAAGCCUCAAGUUUUUCUUCACUCUUUUAGCCAAAGAUAUGUUUCCCAGGAUGCAUGAAAUAAAUAUAUAAAAUGUA